rnacentral:rRNA from 1 species
GACGAACGCUGGCGGCGUGCUUAACACAUGCAAGUCGAACGGAAAGGCCCUGCUUUUGUGGGGUGCUCGAGUGGCGAACGGGUGAGUAACACGUGAGUAACCUGCCCUUGACUUUGGGAUAACUUCAGGAAACUGGGGCUAAUACCGUAUAGGAGCUCCUGCUGCAUGGUGGGGGUGGGAAAGUUUCGGCGGUUGGGGAUGGACUCGCGGCUUAUCAGCUUGUUGGUGGGGUAGUGGCUUACCAAGGCUUUGACGGGUAGCCGGCCUGAGAGGGUGACCGGCCACAUUGGGACUGAGAUACGGCGCAGACUCCUACGAGAGGCAGCAGUGGGGAAUAUUGCACAAUGGGCGGAAGCCUGAUGCAGCAAAGCCGCGUGCGGGAUGACGGCCUUCGGGUUGUAAACCGCCUUCGCCUGUGACGAAGCGUGAGUGACGGUAAUGGGUAAAGAAGCACCGGCUAACUACGUG